AAUGUUUCUUCUUUCAGACAGUAUGUGGACCCCUGUGAUCCCAGACCCAUGCAUGCUUGCAUCCAGGAAAUAUUACCGGACUCUGCAGAUUGAAACUGGAGUUGACUGAAAUGUCUGAUAUAACUACCACAUGAGGCUUUCUGUGGCUGUAUAAGAAUAUGGUCUUUUUGGGCAGACUAGAUGGGCCAAAUGGUUCUUAUCUGCCGUCACAUUCUGUUUCUUCAAUGGCUGUAUAAGAAUAUGCUUCCUUAAAUACUGAAUAUGCAUUUUACAUCAAGGAGCCAUCUGAUGGAUAAAAGGUCUAUGAUCUUCUAUUUAUGGGAGGCAGAUGAGCUACUUGCAACAACAAUAACCAGGUCCUUUAACUUCUCUGCACGAAGUGUGCCAUGGAAACACUGAAUUCCAAGC